CGGCCUCCCAAAGUGCUGGGGUUACAGGUGUGAGCCACUGCACCCAGACAGGACCUUUUAUUCAUGUAAAAUAUUAAGCAGAAUCCUAGACUAGGAGACAGAGAAAGGCAGAGCUAUUUAGAUGGAGACUAGGAUAAGGUGGCAUAUGGAAACCAGUCUGAGGGGCCUCCCUCCCCCUCCUCUGCAGCAGGGCCUGAGGAAUCUGAAGGAAACAGUUUGCAAAAGCCACUGCUUUGGGCCACACCUGUGAGGAGCAGUAGAGCCCGCUGGGUCUCCUGACCAACCAGCACGAUCUGCUUGAAGGUCAUGGAGUGGUGGAAUGUCAUCUUGAAGACCCGCUGCCCGCUAGACUGCAGAUAGACCUCAACACAGUCGCAGGCCCGGCUGCUAGUGGUACCCACCACUUCCUGCUGCUCCCGAGUGGCCAAGACGUACAGGGCCGGACUCCAGAACCCUGAUCUCGGAGGCGCGGACUGAGUCUGCGACAGAUGCGUCUCCACACGCCUUCCGCAUCGCACACUUCGUGGAAGUAGCGGCAGGUCUGGCCGAGGGCGACAAGGUCUCUGACUGGGAGGAAUGAGAUGAUAUGCUCCACCUGGGAGGGAGAAGGGAAGAGGCGGGGGGGUCAUCGGUGGCUCCUUGGUGGUCUGGCCCCCAAUCCUAUUAUUCUCAACCCCCCUCCCCAAGGACUCACCAGCUCUGGGGGGAACAACUGGAUAGAAAUUGGAUUCCCUUUCCCCUUCUUCUCUUCAACCCCAAGCUCCGGGCCACAAGAAGGGCAGCUUCUCUUCACCUACCCGAGAAGGGGUGCAUAGGGUCCCAUGAGGGUCCCACAUCCUUUUUUCCCUUCUCUCUGCCUAUCUUGGGGCUCAUCUGACUCCAGCCGGGUACAGUCAUGUCCUCCCCUCUCUCUCCAGACCCAUCCCUAACUUCUCCAAAUAACUCCUCCCAAUCUCCUGCGGCCAAUCCCCCUCACCCGGAGCCCCUCCUCCCGUCCACACAGCCUGGUGAAUUUUUGCAGCUUCCGUCUCUGGCUUCUCCUCACCAUCCUGAUUGCCCCCUCCCUGCUUCUGCCCUCCUGUCUCCUAGGCCCUUGGCCCCCCGUUCCUGCUGGCUUUCCCACACCAUGUCCCCUGCCUAGGCUUGGGGGACCUCUGGGGCCCCUCUGCCUCCUAGACCCCUCCCCCAUGGAGUCUGGGACUAACAAACCUCUCUGUGACCUCACUGUUUGGCCACUGUGACCUGUUCCCUUUAAUCUUGUCCAGGACCCAUCUCUCAGACAGCUCCUGGGUUCUAGCUCAGUUCUAGCCAUCACAUGGCUCAAGGGAUAUGCAUUUUACUGGAGAAAUAAAGUGUGAAUUAGUGG